GUGAAGCGAACGCGGUGAACUGAAACAUCUAAGUAACCGCAGGAAAAGAAAUCAACCGAGAUUCCCAGAGUAGUGGCGAGCGAAAUGGGAUGAGCCUGUACUCUUUAUCUGUAUUGUUAGUCGAACGCUCUGGAAAGUGCGGCCAUAGCAGGUGAUAGCCCUGUAGACGAAAACAGCAUGGAAGAACUAGGUGUACGACAAGUAGGGCGGGACACGUGAAAUCCUGUCUGAAGAUGGGGGGACCAUCCUCCAAGGCUAAAUACUCGUGAUCGACCGAUAGUGAACCAGUACCGUGAGGGAAAGGCGAAAAGAACCCCGGGAGGGGAGUGAAACAGAUCCUGAAACCGCAUGCAUACAAACAGUCGGAGCCUCGCAAGGGGUGACGGCGUACCUUUUGUAUAAUGGGUCAGCGACUUACAUUCAGUGGCAAGCUUAACCGAUUAGGGCAGGCGUAGCGAAAGCGAGUCCGAACAGGGCGUUCAGUCGCUGGGUGUAGACCCGAAACCAGGUGAUCUAUCCAUGGCCAGGUUGAAGGCACGGUAACACGUGCUGGAGGACCGAACCCACUAACGUUGAAAAGUUAGGGGAUGAGCUGUGGAUAGGGGUGAAAGGCUAAACAAACCUGGAAAUAGCUGGUUCUCUCCGAAAACUAUUUAGGUAGUGCCUCGUGUAUCACCUUCGGGGGUAGAGCACUGUCAUGGUUGUGGGGUCCAUUGCGGAUUACUUCGCCAUAGCAAACUCCGAAUACCGAAGAGUGCAAUCACGGGAGACAGACAUCGGGUGCUAACGUCCGGUGUCAAGAGGGAAACAACCCAGACCGCCAGCUAAGGUCCCCAAAUAUUGCUAAGUGGGAAACGAAGUGGGAAGGCUAAAACAGUCAGGAGGUUGGCUUAGAAGCAGCCACCCUUUAAAGAAAGCGUAAUAGCUCACUGAUCGAGUCGUCCUGCGCGGAAGAUGUAACGGGGCUAAGCAAUAUACCGAAGCUGCGGAUGCAUAUUUAUAUGCAUGGUAGGAGAGCGUUCCGUAAGCCUGCGAAGGUGCACUGGAAAGUGUGCUGGAGGUAUCGGAAGUGCGAAUGCUGACAUGAGUAGCGAUAAAGGGGGUGAAAGGCCCCCUCGCCGUAAGCCCAAGGUUUCCUACGCAACGUUCAUCGGCGUAGGGUGAGUCGGCCCCUAAGGCGAGGCAGAAAUGCGUAGCUGAUGGGAAGCAGGUUAAUAUUCCUGCACCAUUGUUAAAUGCGAUGGGGGGACGGAUCGCGGAAGGUUGUCCGGGUGUUGGAAGUCCCGGUCCUUGCAUUGGAGAAGGCGCUCAGGCAAAUCCGGGCGCAGGAUUCAAGGGUGCGAGGCCAGUCGCUUAGGCGACGAAGCAAUCGGAAGUGGUUCCAAGAAAAGCCUCUAAGCUUCAGUUUAACAAGACCGUACCGCAAACCGACACAGGUGGGCGAGAUGAGUAUUCUAAGGCGCUUGAGAGAACUCGGGAGAAGGAACUCGGCAAAUUGGUACCGUAACUUCGGGAUAAGGUACGCCCCUGUAGCUUGACGCCCCUGCGGGCGGAGGGUGAAGGGGUUGCAAUAAACUGGUGGCUGCGACUGUUUAAUAAAAACACAGCACUCUGCAAACACGAAAGUGGACGUAUAGGGUGUGACGCCUGCCCGGUGCCGGAAGAUUAAAUGAUGGGGUGCAAGCUCCUGAUUGAAGUCCCGGUAAACGGCGGCCGUAACUAUAACGGUCCUAAGGUAGCGAAAUUCCUUGUCGGGUAAGUUCCGACCUGCACGAAUGGCGUAACGAUGGCCACACUGUCUCCUCCCGAGACUCAGCGAAGUUGAAGUGUUUGUGAUGAUGCAAUCUCCCCGCGGCUAGACGGAAAGACCCCAUGAACCUUUACUGUAGCUUUGCAUUGGACUUUGAACCGGUCUGUGUAGGAUAGGUGGGAGGCUAUGAAGCGUGGACGCCAGUCUGCGUGGAGCCGUCCUUGAAAUACCACCCUGAUCUGUUUGAGGUUCUAACCUUGGCCCGUCAUCCGGGUCGGGGACAGUGCAUGGUAGGCAGUUUGACUGGGGCGGUCUCCUCCCAAAGUGUAACGGAGGAGUACGAAGGUACGCUAGGUACGGUCGGAAAUCGUGCUGAUAGUGCAAUGGCAUAAGCGUGCUUGACUGUGAGACUGACAAGUCGAACAGGUGCGAAAGCAGGUCAUAGUGAUCCGGUGGUUCUGUAUGGAAGGGCCAUCGCUCAACGGAUAAAAGGUACUCUGGGGAUAACAGGCUGAUACCGCCCAAGAGUUCAUAUCGACGGCGGUGUUUGGCACCUCGAUGUCGGCUCAUCUCAUCCUGGGGCUGUAGCCGGUCCCAAGGGUAUGGCUGUUCGCCAUUUAAAGAGGUACGUGAGCUGGGUUUAAAACGUCGUGAGACAGUUUGGUCCCUAUCUGCCGUGGGCGCUGGAUAUUUGAAGGGGGCUGCUCCUAGUACGAGAGGACCGGAGUGGACGAACCUCUGGUGUACCGGUUGUCACGCCAGUGGCAUCGCCGGGUAGCUAUGUUCGGAAGAGAUAACCGCUGAAAGCAUCUAAGCGGGAAACUCGCCUUAAGAUGAGAUAUCCCCGGGGCUUCGAGCCCCUUGAAGGGUCGUUCAAGACCAGGACGUUGAUAGGUCAGGUGUGCACGUACAGUAAUGUACUGAGCUAACUGAUACUAAUUGCCCGUAAGGCUUGAUCCUAUAACC
rnacentral:rRNA from 1 species